CGCGUGUAUGUGUGAAUGCGCACACGUCUACGUGUGAGAGCGCGGGUCAAUAAGUUAGCGAUCAGGAAUGAGAGAGAACAGGAGCUACCGUAAAGGCUAAUGUAGAAACGCAAGAAAAUGUAUGCGGCGUAUAAUGCUGGGCAUACACUGUGCGAUUUUGGCCCAUUUUGAGCCCAUUUUUCAGUCAGUCAGACCGUUUUGGUGAUCGGCCCGAGUUUCGCCUUCAUCGUGUGUCGUGCAACGUGUAGUAUACAUCGGGUAACGAGAAGCGAUUAACAAACCAGCUCCCGAUCAUCAAUCGUUUGGUCGUAAGAAAAUCAAACCUGUUUGAAAUGAAGUCGGCCGUCAUGAGGGUGUCAACGCAGCCUCCCACACUGAAAUGAAAGUGAAAAGAUGGAGCAGCACGGCAGUGCAGCGUGUGAUCUGGACACAAGCGAUGGAGGCACAACAUGUAGAACUUUGGCAAGCUCAUCUGAGCCUUUUCGAUGUGGCCUCACAAAAUUAUCACGACACAACAACCGUGAAAAUAGUUGGAUUGUCACUGCUGCUCAAUCACAGCUGCCUGGUCAAUGUUUUUCAUUAGCAAUUUAGCAAAGUUGAUGGUGGUGGUGUGCGUGUCAGUUAAAGACGGAGAAGGAGAGCGAGAGACAGAUUUUGUGUUAUAACCUUCAUGUUAGGGAUGCACAGUGUGAGCACUCAGGUCGCAGACCCUGCAUCGUGACCUACGAACUUCUAACCCCUGCGAGUCAAUCGUACAGUUUGAGCAGGAGCUGAAAAACGCGACUGAAAAAAUCGCACAGUGUAUGCCCAGCUUAAGAGGCGGCUGACUUGACCACGGUGUAAAAACUGCCGUCCUUACCGGAAGUCACUGUCUGAGUAAACACCAUAACAGCCGGGAGUUUCUGUUAUAGUAAGUGAAAAGUUAAGUUUCAUAUUCAUUUUCCGGGACAUCAACUGCUGUCUAUGGCGGCAAAAGAGACCAUACUAUCAGGACCAGUGUCAUAAACUAAACCUGAACUGAAUCUGCGUAGUCGUGGGCAAAUAUUUUUCUUCCCUUGUGCUGACCAGAGUUUGUUUAGGAAGGAGAUAUCUAAUUUUGAAAAAUAAAAAAUGGAGAGAAAAAGUCUGCUUCCAGGAUUUCCACUGGAAAAUUAUGAGAAAGACAAAAAGGAAGAAAAAAGAAUUAGCCUGAAGAAAAGAAAGAGAGUCACGGAUGAUGAAGAUGAGAACAACUUGUGGCGUGUAAAAUGUGGAACCAAAAGGGGCAUCCUAGAUGUAGAGAAGUUGAAAAAAGGUGAGGCAUGUAUUGAGUAUAAAGGCUGCUUGUACAGUCCACCUGAGUUUGAGAAGCUUGCAGGAAAAGAGCCAUGUAGAAAAUGGAAGUCAACUAUUUUCUACAAUGAACUACCUCUGCAGUUUUGGUUUGAGGAAGGCUAUCUAACCACUACAGGAUAUAGACCAAAGAAAAAAAAACGAAAAUCAUGCGACUCAACAGAAGAAAGUGAGGAAGAUCAUGUUGACGAUGAAGAUGAGGAUGAAGAACGGGAAGAUGAGCAUAUGGAUGAAGAGGAUGUUGGUGGUGAUGAGUCUAGCAGUGAGGAUGAUGAGGAUGAAGAAAGUGAUAAUGAUGAAGACGAGACUGCGCCUGCUGUUGCCUCUAACCAUACUGACAGCAGUGAUAUCAAAGAGAGAGUAACAGCUACAAUUCCAACACCUGGAAAACAUGCAUUACAGAUGAAAGAAGUAAAGGGUAUCAUUAACAUCCUUCCUGAGAAGACUAGACAUCAUCCUGACAUGCCAAGAUCUGAAGUCACUGAAAAUCCCAGAGAUGUGGCAAAAAACACAGCAAUCAAACAGCAAAAUGUUAACAAAGAACCUGAAAAGAAACGGAAGAAGACAACAAGCAGCACAAUUUCGACACCUGUGAAACCUGCACUAAAGAUCAAAGAAGAAAAGGGUGUCGUUAAUAGCCUUCCUGAGAGAGCAAGAGAUCAUCCUGACAUGACAAGAUCUGAGGUCACUGAAAAUCCCAGAGAUGUGGCAAAAAACACAGCAAUCAAACAGCAAAAUGUUAAGAAACAACCUGAAAAGAAACUGAAGAAGACAACAAGCAGCACAAUUUCGACACCUGUGAAACCUGCACUAAAGAUCAAAGAAGUAAAGGGCGUCGUUAAUAGCCUUCCUGAGAAGGCUAGACAUCAUCCUGACACGACAAGAUCUGAAGUCACUGAAAAUCCCAGAGAUGUGGCAAAAAACACAGCAAUCAAACAGCAAAAUGUUAAGAAACAACCUGAAGAGGAACUGAAGAAGACAACAAGCAGCACAAUUUCGACACUUGUGAAACCUGCACUAAAGAUCAAAGAAGUAAAGGGUGUGAUUAAAUUCCUUCCUGAGAAGACUAGAGAUCAUCCUGACACGACAAGAUCUGAGGUCACUGAAAAUCCCAGAGAUGUGGCAAAAAACACAGCAAUCAAACAGCAAAAUGUUAAGAAACAACCUGAAGAGGAACCGAAGAAGACAACAAGCAGCACAAUUUCAACACCUGUGAAACCUGCACUAAAGAUCAAAGAAGUAAAGGGCGUCGUUAAUAGCCUUCCUGAGAGAGCAAGAGAUCAUCCUGACAUGACAAGAUCUGAGGUCACUGAAAAUCCCAGAGAUGUGGCAAAAAACACACCAAUCAAACAGCAAAAUGUUAAGAAACAACCUGAAGAGGAACUGCAAGAACGCAAGGAAGAUCAUGUUGAACAUGAAGAUGAGGAUGAAGAACAGGAAGAUGAGCAUAUAGAUGAAGAUGAUGUUGGUGAAGAUGAGCCUAGAGCUGAGAGAGAUGAGGAUGAAGAAGGUGAUAUUGAUGAAGUCGAGACUGCGCCUGCUGUUGCCUCUAACCAUACUGACAGCAGUGAUAUCAAAGAGAGAGUAACAGAUACAAUUCCAACACCUGGAAAACAUGCAUUAGAGAUGAAAGAAGUAAAGGGUAUCAUUAACAUCCUUCCUGAGAAAGCUAUAGAUCAUCCUGGCAUGCCAAGAUCUGAAUUCUCUGGAAAUAACAGAGAUGUUGCAACAAACACAGCAAUCAAACAGCUGAAUGUCAAGAAAGAACCUGAAGAGGAACUGAAAGAACGCAAGGAAGAUCAUGUUGAACAUGAAGAUGAGGAUGAGGAACAGGAAGAUGAGCAUAUAGAUGAAGAUGAUGUUGGUGAAGAUGAGCCUAGAGCUGAGAAAGAUAAGGAUGAAGAAGGUGAUAUUGAUGAAGUCGAGACUGCGCCUGCUGUUGCCUCUAACCAUACUGACAGCAGUGAUAUCAAAGAGAGAGUAACAGCUACAAUUCCAACACCUGGAAAACAUGCAUUAGAGAUGAAAGAAGUAAAGGGUAUCAUUAACAUCCUUCCUGAGAAGACUAGACAUCAUCCUGACAUGCCAAGAUCUGAAGUCAGUGGAAAUAACAAAGAUGUGGCAAAAAACACAGCAAUCAAACAGCAAAAUGUUAAACAACCUGAAGAGGAACUGAAGAAGACAACAAGCAGCACAAUUUCAACACCUGUGAAACCUGCACUAAAGAUCAAAGAAGAAAAGGGUGUCGUUAAUAGCCUUCCUGAGAGAGCAAGAGAUCAUCCUGACAUGACAAGAUCUGAGGUCACUGAAAAUCCCAGAGAUGUGGCAAAAAACACACCAAUCAAACAGCAAAAUGUUAAGAAACAACCUGAAGAGGAACUGCAAGAACGCAAGGAAGAUCAUGUUGAACAUGAAGAUGAGGAUGAGGAACAGGAAGAUGAGCAUAUAGAUGAAGAUGAUGUUGGUGAAGAUGAGCCUAGAGCUGAGAAAGAUGAGGAUGAAGAAGGUGAUAAUGAUGAAGACAAGAGUGUGCCUUCUGUUGCCUCUAACCAUACUGACAGCAGUGAUAUCAAAGAGAGAGUAACAGCUACAAUUCCAACACCUGGACAACAUGCAUUAGAGAUGAAAGAAGUAAAGGGUAUCAUUAACAUCCUUCCUGAGAAGACUAGACAUCAUCCUGACAUGCCAAGAUCUGAAGUCAGUGGAAAUAACAAAGAUGUGGCAAAAAACACAGCAAUCAAACAGCAAAAUGUUAAACAACCUGAAAAGAAACGGAAGAAGACAACAAGCAGCACAAUUUCAACACCUGUGAAACCUGCACUAAAGAUCAAAGAAGUAAAGGGUGUCGUUAAUAGCCUUCCUGAGAAAGCUGGAGAUCAUCCUGACAUGACAAGAUCUGAGGUCACUGAAAAUCCCAGAGAUGUGGCAAAAAACACAGCAAUCAAACAGCAAAAUGUUAAGAAACAACCUGAAGAGAAACUGCGUCCUUCCUGUGAAGCUCUGCCCGUGUCAGAUGAGUGUGAACAUAAAGAUGUCCCCUGCUCUGGCCACAGUGUAGCUGAAGUACAAUCCAUGAUGCCAGAGAUGAGUGUGGACAUGUCAGAGGCCCGGUUGCCUGGGCCCUCAGCCAGCUCUGGCUUGAAUACAAUGGAUCUUGAUCAACUGAAGAGGAAAAAAAUAAAAAUGCAACUGAAGGUUUUAAAAUUACAAGAAGAGUAUUACACUUUGAAAAUAAAAGAACUGAAAAAAUGAGGAUUAAUGUAAAGCUGACAUUGCAGACAAUAAAUUAAAAGAUCGCUGUUUACAUCCACAAACUGACACACGUUAUCUGGAGGUUUCUUGGGUGGAAUGUUACUUUUGACAAAAGCUACAAAAUCAAGUGUGCUGCAUUUAUACACCGUACUUUGUCGUUGCUGUACUCAGGUUUCCUUUAGUAUUGUUGAUUACCAUGUUUUACUUUGUUAUUAGAAUUAAACAAAUAGCUGAUAUUUCCUUCCUGUAAAAUGUGAAUAAACAAUAUUGAUGCUUUUUAUCUGUAAAUUUUGCAAGUGUUAUGAAACUGUGUUUCCUUUGGACUUUGCCCAACCUGUAGUAAUAGUUGUAAGAAGUAGCCUUUAAACAGCAUCGUGCAAUGUCUUGAGCCACAGCUCAUUUCUUUAUGUUUUGCUUCCAAGGAGCAAGAACUUUUAGAAAUUUGCAAGAAAAUAACAAUAUGUGCUCUUUUACUUUGAAGCAUUGUUAGUAAUACAUCAAUCAUAUCUGUGACAGAUGAGCAUAACUGUUUAAAUUCCAAAGAAAUUAGACCCCCCCAAAAAAUUCAUGUAAAUUUGUCCAACCAUAAUGAGAAAAUAUGAAAUGAAUAAAGGAGAGUUACAGUGAUGUGCAAAAGUCUUGAGCCAGGACACGUCAUGCAGAGAUAUGUUAAGUGUCCAGCUAAUAGAUCUUUGGGCAUCAGUUGGUUCCACAAUAAAAAAAAUUCUGCCUAUCAAACUGUGUUAUCUUUGGAAUUUUUCAUAGAUUAAUCUAAAGAAAUUGGAAGAAAUUGUAUGUUUUUGUGACAGGC
ensembl:lncRNA